rnacentral:rRNA from 1 species
GACAGGCCUUGUGCCGGCGAUGGCUCAUUCAAAUUUCUUCCCUAUCAACUUUCGAUGUUUGGGUCUUGUCCAAACAUGGUGGCAACGGGUAACGGAGGGUUAGGGCUCGACCCCGGAGAAGGAGCCUGAGAAACGGCUACUACAUCCAAGGAAGGCAGCAGGCGCGCAAAUUACCCAAUCCCGACACGGGGAGG